rnacentral:rRNA from 1 species
AACGAACGCUGGCGGCAUGCCUAACACAUGCAAGUCGAACGAGACCUUCGGGUCUAGUGGCGCACGGGUGCGUAACGCGUGGGAACCUGCCCUUAGGUUCGGAAUAACUCCCCGAAAGGGGUGCUAAUACCGGAUAAUGUCUUCGGACCAAAGAUUUAUCGCCUUUGGAUGGGCCCGCGUUGGAUUAGCUAGUUGGUAGGGUAAAAGCCUACCAAGGCGACGAUCCAUAGCUGGUCUGAGAGGAUGAUCAGCCACACUGGGACUGAGACACGGCCCAGACGGCUACGGGAGGCAGCAGUGGGGAAUAUUGGACAAUGGGCGAAAGCCUGAUCCAGCAAGGCCGCGUGAGUGAUGAAGGCCUUAGGGUUGUAAAGCUCUUUUACCCGGGAUGAUAAUGACAGUACCGGGAGAAUAAGCUCCGGCUAACUCCGU